GGAGAGGUGCGUGAGCGGUUGAAACGACACGAUUGGAAAUCGUGUGACGCCGAAAGGUGUCCGUGGGUUCGAAUCCCACCCUCUCCGCCA
rnacentral:tRNA from 1 species